UACGUAGGGGGCUAGCGUUGUCCGGAUUUAUUGGGCGUAAAGAGCGUGUAGGCGGCCAGGUAGGUCUGCUGUGAAAACUCGAGGCUCAACCUCGAGACGUCGGCGGAAACUGCUUGGCUAGAGUCCGGAAGAGGAGUGUGGAAUUCCUGGUGUAGCGGUGAAAUGCGCAGAUAUCAGGAAGAACACCUAUGGCGAAGGCAGCACUCUGGGACGGUACUGACGCUGAGACGCGAAAGCGUGGGGAGCGAACAGG
rnacentral:rRNA from 1 species